rnacentral:lncRNA from 1 species
GCGGAGCUGCUGAUGUCAUUGCUGCAUACGGUAGGGUGUGGGGACGGGACCGCACUGACUUCCUGGGACACUGCACUGGGGAUGUCCUGGCACUGCACCACCCCAGGCCAAGGACCUCCCGUUCCAGGCAUCCAGGCUGUCCCUGGUCCCUGCAGUGAUACUCCUUGUUCUGUCUGGGCCCAGACAGAGUGUGUCUGACCCGGUGAUGAAGACUCAUCUGUGAGAUCUUGAAUGAGUCCCUGUGUCUCUCAGAGCCUCAGUUUCCCUAUUUUGAGGGCUAUGAUAGUAUGGUCUGCCUGGGAGCUGGCCAGAGCGCUGGGCCCCUAGUGAGCGCUCAAAGUCAUUGUCAACCUUGUGAUCUUUCUCCCCAGGAACCCUUGGGGUUGGCACUGGGUCAAGCCCAGGAGCCCUUGCACAGCUUGUUGGAGGCAGCUGAGGACCUGGCCCAGGAGGUACGAGGCCCCACCCAUCCUCAACCCCAUGCAGGCAACGUUGGCAGGCAGCCUGCACCGGGAGGGUCUGGGGCAGCCCGGACACUUCCCUUCGAUCCUGGCACUGCCUAGCCUGGUGGAGCUUCAGGCACUGCUGCACAGACCCCGAGGGACUGGUGGGCCCCUGGAGUUGCUGUCUGAGGCCCUCUGCAGUGCCAGGGGACCUAGCAGCACGGUGGGCCCCUCCCUCAACUGGUACAAGGCUAGUGACCUGAUGGACCUGGUGAGGCAGGAGCCAGAAUCAGCCCUGCCGGACAGCAGCCUGAGCCCUGCCUGCUCAGAGCUGAUUGGAGCCCUGGACAACCAUCCGCUGUCCCGCCUGCUCUGGAGACGCCUGAAGCCUCUGAUCCUGGGCAAGCUGCUGUUUGCACCAGAUACACCUUUUACCCGGAAGCUCAUGGCCCAGGUGAACCGGACCUUUGAGGAGCUGGCCCUGCUGAGGGAUGUCCGGGAGGUGUGGGAGGUGCUGGGACCCCAGAUCUUCACCUUCAUGAACGACAGUUCCAAUGUGGCCAUGCUGCAGCGGCUCCUGCAAAUGCAGGACGAAGGAAGAAGGCAGCCCAGGCCUGGGGCCAGGACCGCAUGGAGGCCCUGCGAUCCUUUCUGGACCCUGGGAGCGGUGGCUACAGCUGGCAGGACGCACAUGCUGCUGUGGGGCGCGUGGUGGGCACGCUGGGCCAAGUGACGGAGUGCCUGUCCUUGGACAAGCUGGAGGCGGCACCCUCAGAGGCAGCCCUGGUGUCGCGGGCCCUGCAACUGCUGGCGGAACAUCGAUUCUGGGCCGGCGUCGUCUUCUUGGGACCUGAGGAUUCUUCAGACCCCACAGAACACCCAACCCGAGACCUGGGCCCGGGUCACGUGCUCAUCAAAAUCCGCAUGGACAUUGACGUGGUCACCAGGACCAAUAAGAUCA